UACGGAGGGUGCAAGCGUUAUCCGGAUUUAUUGGGUUUAAAGGGUCCGUAGGCGGAUCUGUAAGUCAGUGGUGAAAUCUCAUAGCUUAACUAUGAAACUGCCAUUGAUACUGCAGGUCCUGAGUAAGGUAGAAGUAGCUGGAAUAAGUAGUGUAGCGGUGAAAUGCAUAGAUAUUACUUAGAACACCAAUUGCGAAGGCAGGUUACUAUGUCUUAACUGACGCUGAUGGACGAAAGCGUGGGGAGCGAACAGG
rnacentral:rRNA from 1 species